UUUUUGCUAGGUUUAAAUAAAAGAAGGCACUCAGUCCUCUCUCGACACGAACGAAAUCUCAGUCCUCUCUCACACUCCUCUGCCUUUCUUCCCCGAUACACCUACCCAAAUCCCCAUAUCUCCUCCUCCUUGCUCUCAAAUCCUCAAAUCUCCUCCUCCUCGCCUUCAAACUAUGGUCAAUUGAAAAGAUGCAGAAGACUAAUAGACUCUUCAAGCUCCCUGUCACGAAACCCUAACAGACUAACAUCUCCAUGGCCGCCAACUGCGCUGCCGUAUCUUCUCCACCUCAGCGAAAAAGGACCAUGUCCGCUCUCGAAGCCCGAAUCUCCCGCCGCUCUCGCCACCCAAGCCUCCUCCGUCUCCCAGCAACAUAAAUUUUCAAAUCCCUUUCCCACAAUCUGAAAUUUUCCUUGAUUUUCAGGUUUAAUUGGUUCUGAUUUGGUUUUAACAUUUGGUGCUUUCCACCUCUGGUGGAUUCUCUGUUUCCGAAGAGACAUGCCGAGGAGUGCUUUCCACCUCUGAUGUUCUUGCAGGAGAUGUUUCAUUAACCACCAGUACAGGAACUCACUACAAAGGACUUGCAUGGAGUUGAAUGGCACUUUCGUCAUAUAUACCGUGGUCAUCCAAAGAGGCACUUGCUUACUAGUGGUUGGAGUACAUUUGUGACUGCCAAGAAACUUGUUCUUGGGGAUGCAUGUAUCUUUGUCAGAGGAGAAAAUGGAGAGCUCCGUGUUGGCAUACGCCGUGCGACCAAAAGACAAGCCAAUGCAACAGCUUCUCUCAUUUCUGGCAAUAGCAUGCAGCAUGGCAUCCUUGCGAGUGCUUUCCAUGCCAUUUCUACUGGAACCAUGUUUACCGUGUAUUAUCGCCCUUGGACCAGUCCUGAGCCAUUUCCAAGGUUUGAGAAUUGUAAAAAAGAAAAGGUAGAGACCCUUUAUGAGCGAGAGGUCGAGGCCUCCAUGGCAGCCACCUACUAUUGACCUAUUUCCAGAUUUGGGUCUUGGGAGCUCUUUGAUGUUGCUGCUGUAAGUUUAUCUCCAUUUAAGGUAUAUGUUUCUUUUGUUAAUAUCAGCCCUCUGCUCUGUGGUUUGAUAUGCCAGUGAUUUGUGUUCCAAGUGAGCAUGUUCAUGUGUUGCAGGUGCAUUUAUAUUUCUUGUUACUCCUUGUGGUCUUAUAAUAAUGGUCAAGUUUCCAAGUAGCAUAGGUAGAAACACAGACACCAUAUAACCAAUUCAGAACUCUCUCACGUACACAGAGAUGCUCUAUCAUAUAUGUUUUGAAUCACUAUAAAAAGUUGAUUGCUAAAUGUUGCUGCAUGGUGAUGAUCUGUUGGCAAAUAAUUUUGCUUCUUGUUGGUUCUGAUCUGAUCACACUGUCCCUAGUUGGAUGAGGGGCAAAUUCAUCAUGUAAAAUAUAAUAUUGAUUGUUUUCCUCUUUCUUGAUGAAGGCCUUGGUGCCUAACAACUACCACUUGAGUUUUUCAGAAAGCACAAAUCUUCCUUCCCCAGUUCUGCUACCAAUGUACGAUUCUCUUAGCACAAAUAUAAAUUGUAUUUUCUCUAUGACGGUAAGAUGAAACACAUGUUAUUGCUUUCAUUUCACUUAUUGAAGAUGGGAAGGGGUAGUUAACCAAUUCAAUCUAGCGUCUUGUGUUUAUGUUCCAUUCGUGUAACAUUUCUCUGUCACUGCAUUUGCUUUGACUCUAGUGAUAUUUCGUUGUUGGAGUAUGAGUCUCCGUCUGGGUUAGGGCCCGCCUUUAAUAAUAUCCAGUUGUAACUCUUUAAAAUGUUCUGAUGAAUACAAUUCUUCUUCUUCUUGGCCUAACUCUUAAAGUUGAGUAAUUUGUAACGGGCCCAUGUGCCGAUUUGGUUGAAUUGUGUCAAAUAUCAAAUAUGGUUCUCAUCUUCUCUCAGCCUCAAGAUCCUUAUUUCAUAGUUGAGAUCAUUGUCUCAUGUUUCUAAUUAUUUGACCAAGUAUUAUUCCCUUGUUAGUGCUUAAAGUCAUAACAUGCUACUUAUGCUUGCAAGGAUAAUAAGGUGUUGCCAUAAAGCUUAUAAUUAUACAGCUAUGUAUUUUUUUUUCUAUUUAGAAUUGCAGAUUUCACAAAACUAUCCUAAGCUAGGAUUGCAGAUCAUUGUUAAGGUUGGCUCUGUUCUAUCCUAAGCUAAAUGUCAUUUUUGUUGUCCUUAAGAGAAAGAACAUGUCCAUUUUGUAUCUAGAGUCUUGAGUCAUGUACUCAUGUGCUAAUGGUGAAAAUCAAUGUAUUUAUAUUGUGAUUUCUGGACUUUCCUGGUUUUGGUUUCACUUGCAUUUUCUGUUCUUUGCUGUUAAUUUCCUACAUUUUCGUUUUCUUGUUUCACUGCUCUUUCUUCACAUUCCCAUGCAGCUUUGUAUUAUCUUUCUUCUGCAACCAUUAAAUGAUGUUGUGCCUGAUGCAGACAUUGUCAAAUUUCAUCAAAUCACUAAACAAGUUUGCAUUUGCAGGCCAAUUGGGGGAGUGAGACAUUCCAAGUUUUGUUGAAGCCAAAGACAGUUGAAGGCUAAGAGCUAUCGAGAAUAGGAAUGUUUUUCAUUCUUGUGUAGCUAACUAGGAAUUUUCUUGUUUAGUGCAUCAUCUAGUUACUUGAAUGUAUGAAUGCUUGAAUAAUGGUACUUGAAUGAAAUGGAUUAGAGUAUUAUUUAUUUGGUAAUAUAU
rnacentral:lncRNA from 1 species